CCGUAAACCCGUCUAAAUUGCUUAUAAUAAGUUAUAUUUAAUCAUAACCGUCGGAUUAUCUAGGGCUAAUCAUAUCCUUACGUUUAAGGUAUAAAAAGGAAAGGCUAAACCUAAAACAUCAUUCUCUUUUUUUCUUCUGCCUCUUCUGCUCGUUCUCUUCUUCUGUGUUCUUCGGCUGGAGGAGAAUUAGAAAUGAUAGUGAGAGAUUGAGACCGAGAGUUGAGGGGAAAGGUUUCGUUGGUGUUAAUAAUAGUGUUACUGAUGUUAAUUAAGUAAAAAGAAGAUGAUGAAGAAGUUGUGAAUUAAAAAGGAAAAAAGUUGGGUUUUCUCUGUGGUUAAGAUUGAGUUUGAAAUUGAGGAAAUAUAGAUCGACGUAUGGUUGUUGGUAGUGUUGAGGAAAUAUACUUCUGUGGGAAAUUUCAAGAUGUUUCAUAUCUGGUCAUUAAUUCGAAUCCAGGAGUAAUCACUUUGAUGAUGCUAACAAAAAUCAGAUGGUUGUAGGGAAGAAAGAAACACCCCAUCUCGUACAACGUGGUAAACAACUAAUUGGUAACUAUCUUCUUCAAUCGAUUAUUUCUAAUAUUGAUCUACGAGAAGAUCUUACUGAUGCAGUGAAGGAAUUUGUGAAAUUUUGGUUUAAAAUUGGGGACUCUGUGGGUUAAGAGUAGAGAUUUGGAGCGUCGAGUUGGUUCUGCUGGGUUUUUCUAGUGCUAGUUAACUUCAUCCAAGAAUGCAUGAGAUCGUUCAGAUAACAUCACAAUCAAGAGUACUCAACACGGUUUUUGAAGCUUCACCAGAUCCAAUGGAGUGGUAAAGGAGAAGCAGCGUCCACUGAUGCCAGGGCACUUUCAGGCCAUGACUCUUAAAAAUUUCAGACGGGUUUUAUGAAUUAUGAGCAAACACUGAUUAGAAAUCGACACAGAUGAACUGCAGAAUGAUACUUGACAGAAAAUUUGGCCUAGUCAUGUAUUCAUAUUUUUUGCAGGUACAACGUGGUAAACAACUAAUUGGUAACUAUCUUCUUCAAUCGAUUAUUUCUAAUAUUGAUCUACGAGAAGAUCUUACUGAUGCAGUGAAGGAAUUUGUGAAAUUUUGGUUUAAAAUUGGGGACUUUGUGGUUUCGGAAAAAGCAUCCCGGUCAGUUCUUUAAUAUUUAGAUCACUUGUUAUAAUGCAGUUCUGUACCUUUUAAAUCCUUACUCUAGUUAAAGAUGUGAAGAUUUU